rnacentral:rRNA from 1 species
UACGUAGGGGGCAAGCGUUAUCCGGAUUUACUGGGUGUAAAGGGAGCGUAGACGGCAUGGCAAGUCUGAUGUGAAAACCCGGGGCUCAACCUGUGGCCUGCAUUUGAAACUGUUUUUCUUGAGUACUGGAGAGGCAGACGGAAUUCCUAGUGUAGCGGUGAAAUGCGUAGAUAUUAGGAGGAACACCAGUGGCGAAGGCGGUCUGCUGGACAGCAACUGACGCUGAGGCGCGAAAGCGUGGGGAGCAAAAAGG